AUUGAACGCUGGCGGCAUGCUUUACACAUGCAAGUCGAACGGCAGCGCGGGCUUCGGCCUGGCGGCGAGUGGCGAACGGGUGAGUAAUGCAUCGGAACGUGCCCAGUAGUGGGGGAUAGCCCGGCGAAAGCCGGAUUAAUACCGCAUACGACCUGAGGGUGAAAGCGGGGGACCGAAAGGCCUCGCGCUAUUGGAGCGGCCGAUGUCGGAUUAGCUAGUUGGUGGGGUAAAGGCUUACCAAGGCGACGAUCCGUAGCUGGUCUGAGAGGACGACCAGCCACACUGUGACUGAGACACGGCCCAGACUCCUACGGGAGGCAGCAGUGGGGAAUUUUGGACAAUGGGGGCAACCCUGAUCCAGCCAUGCCGCGUGCGGGAAGAAGGCCUUCGGGUUGUAAACCGCUUUUGUUCGGGAAGAAAUCCUCUGGGCUAAUACCCCGGGGGGAUGACGGUACCGGAAGAAUAAGCACCGGCUAGCUACGUG
rnacentral:rRNA from 1 species